UUUCAUUUUAUUGACCUCUAGAAGAGAAAUCUUCAACUUUUUUAAUGUGACAAGAGUCAAAGGGAUAUUUGACUCCUAACCUGAAAAAGAAAUGUGGCAUUGUAUUCACAGUGGACUAAUUAACAAAAUCCUAAAACAUUGUAUUUGUGACCCCUUUCAGAAAGCUGGGUGUAUGACAGAUGUCACUACUUCACAGGAGAGGCAUUUGAACAUAAAAAAAACGUUUUUUCCCCCCCUCCAUAUAAAUGCAUUUUUUUUUGCAGAAGUGCCUUUUUCAGCAUGUGAACUUUUAUGUGCCAUAACAAAGUCAUCUGUAAAUAUAAAUACCAAAAUGUGAAAUCACGAAGCUGUUUAGACGCUGAGAAAAUGCCUAGCCAUGAUUGGUUGAGAUAAUGAGUGGGCUGGGACAUUCACAAGAAAGGAGUCCAUUCUGUCACUCAAGGCUUGUCUGUCAAAUGGCGCAUCCUGCUCUCUGCUACCGCGGACAUUACAACGAUCCAUUGGAUGUAAUCAUAUUUUCCAUCAUGGACUCCAUGCAAAGUGUAGCUACAGCUUUCAAUACCAGUGUUGUCCUGAAUACUGCUGCUGGUAUCGACACAGCUCUGUCUUCUGGGGCUAAUGCAGUCUGGACUGGUUGAAGCCGAGUGGGAAGGAUCAUUUUGAAAGUGUUUCAGUCUGCCGUGAAUCAUCAUAAUCCAUACACCGCGGCUCUCUGCCACCAAGGAGAUGAUCGAGGGUGAACAAGCAACACUUCAGCUUUAAUUGUCUGGAGCCUGGUUUUGCUUUCACUCAUUGCUGUGCAAUAUUCACCUCCUUCCUCCCAGAGAUGUGAAGGCAUACCCCAGACUGGACACAACCCGACAAACAUAUCUUUUUGAGAAGAUCAGGACUUUUGCAAUGAAAAAGCCAUGGACAUUACAUGUCCUGAUUCAAAGGGCAGGACAGAAAUAUGCUCUCAGGCUAGAUUCCUUUGUUCAUAUCAUACAUAACCUGAACCAAAGUUACUCAAAAUGAUCUUACGAUAUAGGCCUAGAUUAUGUUUUUACCUUUUGUGUAGGCUACUAUCUUGCACUACCUAGCACUUGAAGUUAAUAAAGUAUUUUGUUUAAA